GAAUGAACUACACUAACCCAGUAAGGAAAAAUAACUAAAACUGUAACAGUUUUGGUAUGAGUGUCAUAAAAAUUGGUUGUCUUUAUACCCCAACCCAUAUAGGAGCCACAAACAUUGACCAUCCUCAUAGCCCAACUCAUAUGAGCAUCAUAAAAAUCAGCUAUCCUCAUACCCAACUCGUAUGGGUGCCACAAUUACUAGUCAUCCUCAUAUCCCAACCCAUGUAAGCUGUUGAUAACUAAAACCAUGAUUGGCUAAUGUUGUAUCCACAGUAGGGUUCACCUGCUUAUCCCGCAAAAACCAAUUUCCUUGUCUUUCAAAUGACUCAUUGAACUUUUUUUCUCAUAUCUUUGCUUCCUUACCUAAUCAAAAUGGUUUUUUACUCAUUCUUAAUUCUCAUUUU
rnacentral:lncRNA from 1 species